rnacentral:tRNA from 1 species
CGAGGUAUCAGGAAAUCGGGGCAGAACCGCUCUUUCGGGACGAAGAGGCCGUGGGUUCGAAUCCCGCCACCCCGACCA